GGCAAUUCUGGCAGGGGGAGCUUUUCGGCACAGCAUCGGUAUUGGCAACGUCAAACCUAAGAGGAAAAUUAGCAAACAGUAUGAGUCCUGCUAAGUGGAACAUCUUCGGUCCUAUGAACUGUCCUCAGGCAAUCUGUCGGUUCACUCAAUAUCAGAGUUCAACGAUACAUCCACCCUCUCAGCAUACUACACCGGCUCAGAUUGCUACUGACGCUCAAGAGAUUCAUACUACUACACUGAAAAGAUGGCAGAACCUACACUCCAGACCUUACUUUCUGUCCGUGUAGCAACGGAUAUGGUGGGGAAGAUGACCCUUCCGCCCACAGUCGGUGGAUGACCUGAAGAUCAUCAUGCAAAACAAACUAAUUUGGACUAAUGACUUCACCCUUCAAGAUGAAGACCCUAACUUGGAUGGACAAUUGUGCUGUCUAGUGGACAUUGAGGAACUUCCUGAGAAAGCUGUCCUGGAGGUAAUCGGAUCAGAAAGUGAUGCCAGCUCAACGGGAACUGGAAACAGAUACUGCCCCACGCCAGAGAGUCUCCAGAGCACCCAGAAAAGUGGCCUGAUGGCUUUUUGGUGCCAUCUUUUUCUUAUGAUCUUGAGCACCUGCUUAGAGAGGGAAAUAUUUGCUAUGAGAACUCGAAAGACUCUUAAAUUAACAAGAGCCCAGAAGCAUGACGUUCUUGAGAACAUACUGUAGCUAAAGCAAUACACAGUUUCAAGGCCUAUCCAAGUGGAGGAGAAAUAGGCAAGGCUGCCUAAGUGCUUGUUACCAAGCACCCAUGUCUCAAAGAAGCAGGGAGUCAGUCUGGAUGGUAUGCAUGGAUGACUAGUCCGAUGUUCAAGAUGGGGAACUAUUGGACCAAGUUGAGCAGAGCUGGAGUUCCUGAGGUCUCUGUGAAUAUCAAAUCAAAUGUAUUUAUAUAGCCCUUCUUACAUCAGCUGAUAUCUCAAAGUGCUGUACAGAAACCCAGCCUAAAACUCCAAACAGCAAGCAAUGCAGGUGUAGAAGCACGGUGGCUAGAAAAAACUCCCUAGAAAGGCCAACCCAGACAGGAAGAUCACGUCAGGGACUCAACCCACUCAAGUGACGCACCCCUCCUAGGGAUGGCAUGGAAGAGCACCAGUAAGCCAGUGACUCAGCCCCUGUAAUAGGGUUAGAGGCAGAGAAACCCAGUAGAGAGAGGGGAACCGGCCAGGCAGAGACAGCAAGGGCUGUUCGUUGCUCCAGAGCCUUUCCGUUCACCUUCACACUCCUGGGCCAGAAUACACUCAAUCAUAUGACCUACUGAAGAGAUGAGUCUUCAGUAAAGACUUAAAGGUUGAGACCGAGUCUACGUCUCUCACAUGGGUAGGCAGACCAUUCCAUAAAAAUGGAGCUCUAUAGGAGAAAUCCCUGCCUCCAGCUGUGCUUAGAAAUUCUAGGGACAAUUAGGAGGCCUGCGUCUUGUGACCGUAGCGUACGUGUAGGUAUGUACGGCAGGACCAAAUCGGAAAGAUAGUUAGGAGCAAGCCCAUGUAAUGCUUUGUAGGUUAGCAGUAAAACCCUGAAAUCAGCCCUUGGCUUAACAGGAAGCCAGUGUAGGGAGGCUAGCACUGGAGUAAUAUGAUCAAAUUUUGGGGUUCUAGUCAGGAUUCUAGCAGCCGUAUUUAGCACUAACUGAAGUUUAUUUAGUGCUUUAUCCGGGUAGACGGAAAGUAGAGCAUUGCAGUAGUCUAACCUAGAAGUAACAAAAGCAUGGAUACAUUUUUCUGCAUUUUUGGACAGAAAGUUUCAGAUUUUUGCAAUGUUACGUAGAUGGAAAAAAGCUGUCCUUGAAACAGUCUUGAUAUGUUCGUCAAAAGAGAGAUCAGGGUCCAGAGUAAUGCCGAGGUCCUUCAGUUUUAUUUUAGACGACUGUACAACCAUCAAGAAUAAUUGUCAGAUUCAACAGAAGAUCUUUAUUUCUUGGGACCUAGAAUAAGCAUCUCUGUUUUGUUCGAGUUUAAAAGUAGAAAGUUUGCAGCCAUCCACUUCCUUAUGCCUGAAACACAGGCUUCUAGCGAGGGCAAUUUUGGGGCUUCACCAUGUUUCAUUGAAAUGUAGAGCUGUGUGUCAUCCGCAUAGCAGUGAAAGUUAACAUUAUGUUUUCAAAGGACAUCCCCAAGAAGUAAAAUAGAUAGGGAAAACAAUAAUGGUCCUACAACGGAACCUUGAGGAACACAGAAAUUUACAGUUGAUUUGUCAGAGGACAAACCAUUCACAGAGACAAACUGAUAUCUUUCCGACAGAUAAGAUCUAAACCAGGCCAGAACUUGUCCGUUGUAGACCAAUUUGGGUUUCCAAUCUCUCCAAAAGAAUGUGGUGAUCUAUGGUAUCAAAAGUAGCACUAAGGUCUAGGCGCACGAGGACAGAUGCAGAGCCUCGGGCUGACGCCAUUAAAAGGUAAUUUAGCACCUUCACACGUGCAGUCUCAGUGCUAUGAUGGGGUCUAAAACCAGACUGAAGCAUUUCGUAUACAUUUUUUGUCCUCAGGAAGGCAGUGAGUUGCUGCGCAACAGCUUUUUCUAAAAUUUGAGAGGAAUGUAAGAUUCGAUGUAGGCCGAUAGUUUUUUAUAUUUUCUGGGUCAAGGUUUGGCUUUUUCAAGAGAGGCUUUAUUACUGCCACUUUUAGUGAGUUUGGUACACAUCCGGUGGAUAGAGAGCCAUUUAUUAUGUUCAACAUAGGAGAGCCAAGCACAGGAAGCAGCUCUUUCAGUAGUUUAGUUGGAAUAGGGUUCAGUAUGCAGCUUGAAGGUUUAGAUGCCAUGCAGCUUGAAGGUUUAGAUGCCAUGAUUAUUCUCAUCAUUGUGUCAAGAGAUAUAGUACUAAAACACUUGAGUGUCUCUCUUGAUCCUAGGUCCUGGCAGAGUUGUGCAGACUCAGGACAACUGAGCUUUGGAGGAAUAAGCAGAUUUAAAGAGGAGUCCGUAAUUUGCUUUCUAAUGAUCAUGAUCUUUUCCUCAAAGAAGUUAAUGAAUUGAUUACUGCUUAAGUGAAAGCCAUCCUAUCUUGGGGAAUGCUGCUUUUUAGUUAGCUUUGCGACAGUAUCAAAAAGACAUUUUGGAUUGUUCUUAUUUUCCUCAAUUAAGUUGGAAAAAUAGGAUGAUCGAGCACCAGUGAGGGCUCUUCGAUACUGCACGGUACUGUCUUUCCAAGCUAGUCGGAAGACUUCCAGUUUGGUGUGGCGCCAUUUCCGUUCCAAUUUUCUGGAAGCUCGCUUCAGAGCUCAGGUAUUUUCUGUAUUCCAGGGAGCUAGUUUCUUAUGACAAAUGUUCUUAGUUUUUAGGGGUGCAACUGCAUCUAGGGUAUUGCGCAAGGUUAAAUUGAGUUCCUCAGUUAGGUGGUUAACUGAUUUUUGUCCUCUGACGUCCUUGGGUAGGCAGAGGGAGUCUGGAAGGGCAUCAAGGAAUCUUUGGGUUGUCUGAGAAUUUAUAGCACGACUUUUGAUGCUCCUUGGUUGGGGUCCGAGCAGAUUAUUUGUUGCUAUUGCAAACGUAAUAAAAUGGUGGUCCGAUAGUCCAGGACUAUGAGGAAAAACAUUAAGAUCCACAACAUUUAUUCCAUGGGACAAAACUAGGUCCAGAGUAUGACUGACAGUGAGUUGGUCCAGAGACAUUUUGGACAAACCCACUGAGUCGAUGAUGGCUCCGAAAGCCUUUUGGAGUGGGUCUGUGGACUUUUCCAUGUGAAUAUUAAAAUCACCAAAAAUGUGAAUAUUAUCUGCUAUAACUACAAUGUCCGAUAGGAAUUCAGGGAACUCAGUGAGGAAUCCUGUAAACAGUAGCUAUAAAAAGUGAUUGAGUAGGCUGCAUAGAUUUCAUGACUAGAAGCUCAAAAGACGAAAACGUCGGGGGGGGGGGGGGGGGUUUUAUAAAUUGAAAUUUGCUAUCGUAAAUGUUAGCAACACCUCCGCCUUUGCGGGAUGCACGGGGGAUAUGGUCACUAGUGUAACCAGGAGGUGAGGCCUCAUUUAACACAGUAAAUUCAUCAGGCUUAAGCCAUGUUUCAGUCAGGCCAAUCACAUCAAGAUUAUGAUCAGAGAUUAGUUUAUUGACUAUAACUGCCUUUGAAGUGAGGGAUCUAACAUUAAGUAGCCCUAUUUUGAGAUGUGAGGUAUCACGAUCUCUUUCAAUAAUGGCAGGAAUGGAGGAGGUCUUUAUUCUAGUGAGAUUGCUAAGGCGAACACCGCCAUGUUUAGUUUUGCCCAACCUGAAUACAGUGAAUACAGUGAAGAGGAGCAUAAACAACCCAGAGAGAGAGUCACUCCACUCAAACAUCAAGAGACCAAGACGAGGUGAGGUAAACUUCCUGCCAUACUUUCCAAGAGGGAAAGACCCAGAGUCUCUUAAGUAGCUGAGACAGCAAAUCAUCAACAAAGUUUCAAAUACAGAGAGAAACCUAACAUUAAUAGACAAACUGAGGCAGACGAAAUGAGAUCAUCAAUGAUGGACCGCCAGUGAAAGGGUUCUGUCCAGAGAACUGUCCAGCCCUUCACUUGGAGUCUCAGGUUUGUGCAGACUUCCACCACAUAACAAACAUCAAUCUGAAGAGCCGAUUCUACGCCGAACUAGACAGACACCACCCGACUGAUUGUCUUGUUCAGGCAAAGGGCAGCACGGACAGACCAUGCAGCAGAGGCUAUGAGACGUGUCUUAAGGAUCUAUGAUCUCCAGAGCAACUUGACGUGAACACCAGGCGCACUACUGCCCUUUGUGGUCUCCCCAUCUACCUUCGUGAGGAAACCACUGGAAUGUAGAGGAAACUGAAGAGCCGGACAUUACAGACCCGCCUGUCUCUCUCCUCACAGUCGUCAGCGAGAACUAAACUGAUCAUGUCCAGUUCAACUCAGCAAGGAUUGCUGUUGUGUUAGCUAGAAGGUGACAUUGUAAUGAGUGAUGUUCCCAGGUUGGCUGAUGCACUUAUGUUGUUAUUUGAUUUGAUUUACGCCUUGCAUCUGAGUUAUCCCAAGCAGCUGAUCCACACGUUUAACUUCAUACAAAAAGGUCCUGAUGGGCUUGGAUAAUGGGAAAAUUCUUAAACCCAAGCUUUUGUCUCUGAAAAAAAGACCUAUUGAAGCAAGAUUAAUGAUGUGUGGGUAUUUGCAUUUACCGUCAUUGAGGUUGUCUCCAACUCAUGCCCUUACAUGGCUGCAAAGGCAUUUCUCGUAGAUGCAUCUUUAAUGUGUGGCUCCACAUUGUCCCACCUUUGCCUUGUUAAUCGUAGCAUAGCCUCACACAGACAGUUUUUCCAAUCGAAAACCCUACAUUCUUUAGAAGUUGUAAAUGUUUUCCUUUCAUUGUCAUUGACGUUUGACAUAAACCAGGUCCAGUGGGUGUUAUUUUUGACCACACACGUGUUUCAGCUGUUCUGCCCUUCAGUAGAACUCAAUAGAAAGAGAGAUGGCUCUUUCUGUACUGCCGCUGUCAGUCAAUAUGUAAACAACGUGGAGUGCUUGAUGAGAUAAGCGAGAGUUGAGAUUUGAUAUCCACUCCAAAUAAAGUUGUAACAUACACUAUGUUCUGAAUGUAACGGAGAUAAGCGAGAGAGAGUUCAUAUGCACUAAAAUAAAGCUGGAACAUGUUUUCUAAAAUGUAUGUAUUACAACGGUUAUAACAGUUAAUGGUUUUUGAUCAUGGCUGCAGCUUUAAUGUGUGGCUCCUAAUUUUCCAGUUUUAGUCUAAUCGCUGCAGACUCAUAUACGGACAAUGUUUCCAAUAGAAAGUUCAGAGACACUAUUUGGAUAGUCCAUCUGUAGAUAGUUAAUUGAGCAUCUAUAGACCAUCAACAAAUGUUCAAUUACUGUCAACUAACCCUAACAUAUCAGCAGAGAUGCAGUUGACAUUUUCUUAGUUUCUUGAUAGUUUGAGCAUCCACAGGGGACUAUCCAAAUACUGUUCCAGAAAAUUCUAAAUUCUUUAGAAGUUCAAUGUUUUAACCAGGUUUCCUUCCAACCAUUUCAUGCUAGAGCGCACGUCAGAACGAGAUUUUUUUGUUUGUCUGCAGCCAAGCAUCAAUGACCAUAUCUCCAGAAUGCAACCCUUGAUAUUUAUUGGAAAGAAACAUCAAGCUCAUCACAUGCAAUUUUACCACCCUGUGAAGUUCAUCACAACUUAUUUCAUCUGUAGCCUAAAACUGCAUGCUCUCCUGACAAGCCGUAGUGGGAGGACCACACGUCAUCGUGUGACUCCCAAGUUUACUUCAAUAUGAUGGUUAUUAAAUCAAUAUUUUCCCAUAAAAGCAUUUCCACUGACAUUUCUCGAUUAACAAAUUUUACAGAGGCAAAGAUCAACUUUUCUUUACUCGCAUAAAAAGGUUAGAUGGAAACCUGGUUAGUGUCACAUUUGGUUAUUGUUUUGGAGGCAGGCAUUUUGUAAAGUUGAAUACACAGGCAUAUUAAAGUAUGGUUUGAGUUGUCAAUAACAUUAAUUGUUUACUUUAUUUGAUAACAAAAUGUAUUUUGUACAUUAUAUUUAUAGUGAUUUAUAUGAUUGUGUUUGUAUUAUUCAAGCCUUAGAAUAAAGAUUCAUUGAAUGCCUGAAAA